rnacentral:rRNA from 1 species
UGAGGAAUAUUGGUCAAUGGGCGUAAGCCUGAACCAGCCAAGUCGCGUGAGGGAUGAAGGUUCUAUGGAUCGUAAACCUCUUUUAUAAGGGAAUAAAGUGCGGGACGUGUCCCGUUUUGUAUGUACCUUAUGAAUAAGGAUCGGCUAACUCCGUGCCAGCAGCCGCGGUAAUACGGAGGAUCCGAGCGUUAUCCGGAUUUAUUGGGUUUAAAGGGUGCGUAGGCGGCCUUUUAAGUCAGCGGUGAAAGUCUGUGGCUCAACCAUAGAAUUGCCGUUGAAACUGGGGGGCUUGAGUAUGUUUGAGGCAGGCGGAAUGCGUGGUGUAGCGGUGAAAUGCAUAGAUAUCACGCAGAACCCCGAUUGCGAAGGCAGCCUGCCAAGCCAUGACUGACGCUGAUGCACGAAAGCGUGGGGAUCAAACAGGAUUAGAUACC